CACUUUCAGUUGUGAGGAAGGUAGUGUAGUUAAUAGCUGCAUUAUUUGACGUUAGCGACAGAAGAAGCACCGGCUAACUCCGUGCCAGCAGCCGCGGUAAUACGGAGGGUGCGAGCGUUAAUCGGAAUUACUGGGCGUAAAGCGCAUGCAGGUGGUUUGUUAAGUCAGAUGUGAAAGCCCGGGGCUCAACCUCGGAAUUGCAUUUGAAACUGGCAGACUAGAGUACUGUAGAGGGGGGUAGAAUUUCAGGUGUAGCGGUGAAAUGCGUAGAGAUCUGAAGGAAUACCGGUGGCGAAGGCGGCCCCCUGGACAGAUACUGACACUCAGAUGCGAAAGCGUGGGGAGCAAACAGGAUUAGAUACCCUGGUAGUCCACGCCGUAAACGAUGUCUACUUGGAGGUUGUGGCCUUGAGCCGUGGCUUUCGGAGCUAACGCGUUAAGUAGACCGCCUGGGGAGUACGGUCGCAAGAUUAAAACUCAAAUGAAUUGACGGGGGCCCGCACAAGCGGUGGAGCAUGUGGUUUAAUUCGAUGCAACGCGAAGAACCUUACCUACUCUUGACAUCCAGAGAACUUUCCAGAGAUGGAUUGGUGCCUUCGGGAACUCUGAGACAGGUGCUGCAUGGCUGUCGUCAGCUCGUGUUGUGAAAUGUUGGGUUAAGUCCCGCAACGAGCGCAACCCUUAUCCUUGUUUGCCAGCGAGUAAUGUCGGGAACUCCAGGGAGACUGCCGGUGAUAAACCGGAGGAAGGUGGGGACGACGUCAAGUCAUCAUGGCCCUUACGAGUAGGGCUACACACGUGCU
rnacentral:rRNA from 1 species